rnacentral:rRNA from 1 species
GUACACGCUGUGACUAGCAUAUCAAUAAGCGGAGGAAAAGAAACUAACAAGGAUUCCCCUAGUAACGGCGAGUGAAGCGGGAAGAGCUCAAAUUUGAAAUCUUAAAGGGUUUCCCUUUACGAAUUGUAGUUUAAAGAAGUGUUUUCUGUUGAGGUUUUGGUAAAAGUUCUUUGGAAUAGGACAUCAUAGAGGGUGAGAAUCCCGUAUUUGACCUUUACUUUCAACUUUGUGAUACACUUUCAAAGAGUCGGAUUGUUUGGGAAUGCAGUCCAAAAUGGGUGGUAAAUUUCAGUCUAAAGCUAAAUAUUGGCGAGAGACCGAUAGCGAACAAGUACCGUGAGGGAAAGAUGAAAAGAACUUUGAGAAAGAGAGUUAAACAGUACGUGAAAUUGUCAAAAGGGAAGCGUUUGACACCAGUGUUGUUUUUCUGAAAAUCAAUUAAAGAACUGUUUAUGCUAAGCUGUUUAGACUUUAUCAGCUAUCUGUUUAGUUUUGAGCUUUUCUUUAAUGCACUUUUCAGUUAACAAGUCAACAUCAAUUUCUUUUGCUGUAAAAAAGCUUGAGGAAGGUGGCUUGAGAUUCGUCUUAAGUGUUUAUAGCCUCUUGCCUAUGCAGUCGGAGAGAUUGAGGUCUGCAGCGUAGAUCCUUCGGGGCUAAAUGCAUUUGUGCUAAGUUAUAGCAUUUUAUAGACAACUUGUUGACUAUGAUUUGUCUUGUAGCUUACUCGCUUAUGUUAUUUUACCUACGCUUAGGAUGUUGAUAUGCAUGACUGAUAU